GGGCCGCAGUAUCCUGACUGUGCUAAGGUAGCAUAAUAAUUUGUCUUUUAAUUGAAGACUUGUAUAAAUGAGUUGACGACGAGCAAACUGUCUCUUUCAGGAAACUUAAACUUACCGUUAAGGUUAAAAGGCCUUAACCCCUCAAAGGGACGACAAGACCCUAAAAACUUUAUUCCUUAUUUGGUAUCUAAGAAAUUACAAAAAUUAGGAAUUUAACUGGGGCGGUUAAUAAAAACAAAAUUAAAUCUAACAUCUUGCAUGAAAUUUAAAUACAUGUCUCCAUACAAAAGAACUAGUUACUUUAGGGAUAACAGCGCAAUUUUUCCAGAGAGUUCAAAUCGGCGGAAAAGAUUACGACCUCGAUGUUGAAUUGAAAAUCCUCCUGUAGAGCAAAAGCACGGGAAGGGAGUCUGUUCGACUCUUAAAAUUUCACAUGAUCUGAGUUCAAACCGG
rnacentral:rRNA from 1 species